GACGAACGCUGGCGGCGUGCCUAAUACAUGCAAGUUGAGCGCUGAAGGUUGGUACUUGUACCGACUGGAUGAGCAGCGAACGGGUGAGUAACGCGUGGGGAAUCUGCCUUUGAGCGGGGGACAACAUUUGGAACGAAUGCUAAUACCGCAUAAAACUUUAAACACAAGUUUAAGUUUGAAAGAUGCAAUUGCAUCACUCAAAGAUGAUCCCGCGUUGUAUUAGCUAGUUGGUGAGGUAAAGGCUCACCAAGGCGAUGAUACAUAGCCGACCUGAGAGGGUGAUCGGCCACAUUGGGACUGAGACACGGCCCAAACUCCUACGGAGGCAGCAGUAGGGAAUCUUCGGCAAUGGACGAAAGUCUGACCGAGCAACGCCGCGUGAGUG
rnacentral:rRNA from 1 species